CCUACGGGAGGCAGCAGUGGGGAAUAGUGCACAAUGGGGGAAACCCUGAUGCAGCGACGCCGCGUGAGAGAUGAAGGAUUUCGGGAGGUAAAGCUCUAUCAGCAGGGAAGAAAAUGACGGUACCUGACUAAGAAGCCCCGGCUAACUACGUGCCAGCAGCCGCGGUAAUACGUAGGGGGCAAGCGUUAUCCGGAUUUACUGGGUGUAAAGGGAGCGUAGACGGCGGUGCAAGCCAGAUGUGAAAGCCUGGGGCUCAACCCCGGGACUGCAUUUGAAACUGUGCUGCUAGAGUGUCGGAGAGGCAGGCGGAAUUCCUAGUGUAGCGGUGAAAUGCGUAGAUAUUAGGAGGAACACCAGUGGCGAAGGCGGCCUGCUGGACGAUGACUGACGUUGAGGCUCGAAAGCGUGGGGAGCAAACAGGAUUAGAUACCCUUGUAGUC
rnacentral:rRNA from 1 species